GGGAUAAAUGAAGGGUAAGCAGUUGUGUAGCUGUGGUGGGAGCAGUGGUGGGUAGCUUUCAAUAGUAGAUCAUCAUAUUUUUCCAUUUUCUGAAACCACAGUUCUUUCCUGAAACCCAUUAGUCUGGUUUAGGCUUCAGGCUGCUGGAGGAAAGCAUUAUUUAGUGAGUGCUGCAGAAGCUGAUUCUUGUGGAACCCAUGAGACUUAGAUCUUGCUGAUGUCAGAAUUUUCACAAGAUUUUGCAUUUUCAGAGACGUUUUGUACUCUGUUUGUGAGCUUGAUAUAAAUGGUCUUGUUUUCUAUUUCCCAGAUUAAAAUCUGUGGAUAAAAAGAACUUCAUUUGUUCCCUAUGGAAGAUGCAAAAUAUAUUUGAGUGACUGAAUGGAUACAUCUUUGUGAAUGACUAUGACUCAGGUUUACAUUGCCAUUUUCAUAAAAAAAAGGGGGAAAAUUUGCUCUUCUAAACUAAAUUCAAGAGUAGAGAGAGGUAAUACUAUGUCCACCAAAAAAUUACAAUAGAAGUGAAAUAUUCAUAUUCUAGUCUUUCAAACAAAAGUAAGGAACCAUUUUGUUGCUCCCUCUCAUGGCUGAGAUUAGGGAAUUCUGGCUUUUCUCUUUGGUCAGGUGAACUACUCAGGGGUAUUUAUUAAGUGAAUACAUUCACCAAACAGUCUUGGACUUCACAGGACAACUUCUCGGUGCCAUUCAGUGAAAGCUGGGAAUACGAAGAUGCCUAAGGUCAUGUGAGCCCCACAUUUCUUGCAGUCCAGUGGAAAGACAGCUGCAUGAAUAUAUACUAGAGUGAAUAUAGAUACAAUAAAUUAUACCCAAGUGUAAUACAAUUAACAACUUUUAUGCUAGUGGUAUAAACCAGAAGAGGGAUUUUGUCAAUCGAUAUUAAUUUGGGAGGUUAAGGAGGGUUUUACUGAGAAGAUAAGUUGAAAUGCAAGGAUGUAUACACAUUUUUCCAGGCAGAAAAUGGGAAAGGCAUUAUGGAAGGAGGCAAGCAAAGGCAAGGCAGUGGAUGGACGUGGGAAACUGCCACACACCAUCUCUUGAGGAUACGAAAGGAGACAAGGUAGGCACAGGUCAGAUGGAGAAGGUGUCCUUGGCAUGCCCGUGUGCAUGUGGGAGCAAACCAGGCUUUCAGCCAAGACGUCACUGACUGCAUACAUAUAGGUUCUUUAAAAUGCCAGCUUUGGCAGGAGGUUGUAGAACUGAUUGGGUGGUGGGCAGUGUGAGAAGACAGGAGAGAAGAGGGGCCAGUAUUAUUAAAUUCUGUAACUCUUUUUUUUCAUUACAGAUUUUAAAAAAAUGUUGCUAAAAAUACGUGCAGGUUUUUAAAAAAGCUGAUUUCAUCUCUGAUUAGUGGCCAAGGCAACAGUCAGUACAGAUUAAAAAGAAGUUGCAUGCAAUGAGAAGGAGAGGGAAAGUGUCUCUUAGGGCUGUUGUUCUUAGAAGAGUGUGAGCGAAGCAGGAACUUGGAAUUUCAUACUCUUUUUCCAGCACAAGUAUGAAGAAAUGAACUAGACGUGAAGAAGUCUGUGAAAAGAAGUCAGUGAACUUCAGGGAAUAUCCUGUGAGCAUCAUCUUCUUUAUUCAGCAACAUUAAGAGCAUCUCCAGUGGGUUCACAUAUAUUUUUUUGAGUGUCUGUUUUCUGUUAAUCAUGGUGAGAACAUUAAGAAUAAUUUUAGAAAUUGGAAACAUUCUUAACUCUGAGAGAUCAUUACUUUGCUCUGCUGUGGUUACAAAUACAGUAAGUUCAACAUAAAUACAGCUUAAGAAGUGUCUCAACCACUUCAGAAAUGUAGAAGUAUUUUUUAUAAUCUAGAGUAUUUAAUUAAUCAAAACUUCUAUUCCCCUAGUAUUCUGAGUAAUCAAUAUUUUCAUUUGUGAGUUUCAGAUGAAGAAUUAUUUGCACAAUGACAUAUCUGGGUUUUUUAAUACACUUUCUUCUGAAUCUUUCUUUAGUGUGAUGUGAGAUAUACAUGAGAAAUGUGCAUUUAAAUAGUCACAGUAAUGAUUGUAAUGAAUUCCAAGUGAGGACCGCAUGCUCUAAUUCCCAUGAAUUGAGGGGUAAUAUUUUUAUGUUAUCGUUUUCUAUAAUAAAACCUAAAAGCAGGUGCACAUGUCUGGCAAUUUAAAAGUUUCAAUAAAUUAAUAUUUGCUAAUAAUACUGACCUAUUUCUCCUAAGGAUUAAAUAAGUGGAAGUUUUAUUUUAAACUAGUUUUUAAAAUAGUGUGUUAUGAAGAGCCAAUGCUAUGGGUAUAACAGAAUUUUACUAUUAAGUCAAUUGAGUAUAACAUGUAAAAUUUUUUUCUCUUGGCCAACAAUCUCUGAUCUAGGGCAAAAUGUCUCAGAACAGUUGUCCAGAGUGAUGCAACUUCAUAGGCACCACUUACCAUCUUUAUUGGAAAAUUGAGUAGAUCUUUAUAGACAUACUUUUUUGUGUCUCAAAUUGAAAAACCUACUUAUAGAUAUUAGUCUGAUAUUUUAGUGACUAAGUAAAUUAUUAAAUAAAAUAUUUAUUAAGUGGUAAUUUUUAAUAGAUUUCCUAGUUUGGGUAUAUCAUUCUCACUAUUUAAAAGUUCAUGUAGGAGUUCCCUAAUGGCCUAGUGGUUAAAGACUCGGUGUUGUCACUUCUGUGGCUCUUUUGGUCCCUGGCCCAGAAACUUCCACAUUCCUUGGGAACAGCCAAAAAACAAAACAAAAGAAAACAAAACAAAAAAACAGCAACAGCUCAUGUUUUUAAGAUUAAAGAGCAACUGAGUGGGAGUUCCCGUCGGCUCGGUGGUUAAUGAAUCUGACUGGGAACCAUGAGGUUGUGGGUUUGAUCCCUGGCCUUCCUCAGUGGGUUAGGAUCUGGUGUUGCUGUGAGCUGUGGUGUAGGUUGCAGACGCAGCUCGGAUCCCCCAUUGCUGUGGCUCUGGCGUAGGCUGGAGGCUACAGCUCUGAUUAAAACCCUACCCUGGGAACCUCCAUGUGCCGCGAGUGCGGCCCCAGAAAA
rnacentral:lncRNA from 1 species